rnacentral:rRNA from 1 species
AACGAACGCUGGCGGCAGGCCUAACACAUGCAAGUCGAGCGAGCAUUUCGGUGCUAGCGGCGGACGGGUGAGUAACGCGUGGGAACGUGCCCUUUUCUGCGGAAUAGUCCUGGGAAACUGGGGGUAAUACCGCAUACGCCCUUUUGGGGAAAGAUUUAUCGGAGAAGGAUCGGCCCGCGUUGGAUUAGGUAGUUGGUGGGGUAAUGGCCCACCAAGCCGACGAUCCAUAGCUGGUUUGAGAGGAUGAUCAGCCACACUGGGACUGAGACACGGCCCAGACUCCUACGGGAGGCAGCAGUGGGGAAUCUUAGACAAUGGGGGCAACCCUGAUCUAGCCAUGCCGCGUGAGUGAUGAAGGCCUUAGGGUUGUAAGGCUCUUUCAGCUGGGAAGAUAAUGACGGUACCAGCAGAAGAAGCCCCGGCUAACUCCGUG